AACUUUUAAAGGAUAACAGUCAAUCCAGUGGU
rnacentral:tRNA from 1 species